GCUACCAUGACUUUGAUCCCCGUCUUCAUCUGGACACUGAUCCUCUGGACUCAAGAAUGCAGAGGUCAAGUCACAGUAACUCAGACUCCUGCAGUGAAAUCUGUUCUUCCAGGAGAAACAGUCACCAUCAACUGUAAAACCAGUCAGGCAGUGUACAGUAACUCAAAUGGUCACUACUUACACUGGUAUCAGCAGAAACCUGGAGAAGCUCCUAAAUUCUUGAUUAAGUUCGCAAAUCAGAGACAGUCAGAUUUUCCAGCUCGUUUCAGUGGCAGUGGAUCUGGAUCUGAUUUCACUCUGACCAUCAGUGGAGUCCAGACUGAAGAUGCAGGAGAUUACUACUGUCAGUGUUUACAUUACAUCAGUAGCACCUAUCUGUUCACACAGUGUUAUAGAGUCGUACAAAAACCUCCCUCAGUCAGAUUGUAGAGAGACUGAACUGCUGCAGCUGGGAGCGACUGCAGGUGCUGAGUUGGAGGAUGUGAUACGACACAAUGACACUCUGUGGA